rnacentral:rRNA from 1 species
UCCGACGGUGAGGGAUGAAGCUGGGGGCGCAAACCGGAUUAGAUACCCGGGUAGUCCCAGCAGUAAACGAUGCCAGCUAUGUGUUGCUGGAACCAUGGGUUCCACAGUGCCGAAGGAAGCCGGAAGCUGGCCACCUGGGAAGUACGGUCGCAAGGCUGAAACUUAAAGGAAUUGGCGGGGGAGUAGCACAACCGGUGGAGCCUGCGGUUUAAUUGGAUACAACGCCGGGAAUCUUACCGGAGGGGACAGCAGUAUGAAGGCCAGGCUAAAGACCUUGCCAGAUCAGCUGAGAGGAGGUGCAUGGCCGUCGCCAGUUCGUACCGUGAGGCAUCCUGUUUAGUCAGGCAACGAUCGAGACCCGCAGUCUUAUUUGCCAGCAUGCCCUUUGGGGUGUAUGGGUACAAUAAGACGACCGCCAGCGCUAAGCUGGAGGAAGGAGCGGGCUACGGUAGGUCAGCAUGCCCCGAAUCCUCCGGGAUACACGCGGGCUACAAUGGUCAGGACAAAAGGUACCGACCUCGAAAGAGUGAGGUAAUCCACAAACCUGAUCUCAGUCCGGAUCGAAGGCUGCAACUCGCCUUCGUGAAGAUGGAAUCGGUAGUAAUCGUGACUCACAAUGUCACGGUGAAUAUGUCCCUGCU